AUUGAACGCUGGCGGCAGGCUUAACACAUGCAAGUCGAGCGGUAACAGAGAGAAGCUUGCUUCUCUGCUGACGAGCGGCGGACGGGUGAGUAAUGCCUAGGAAUCUGCCUAGUAGUGGGGGAUAACUUGCCGAAAGGUAAGCUAAUACCGCAUACGUCCUACGGGAGAAAGGAGGGGACCUUCGGGCCUUUCGCUAUUAGAUGAGCCUAGGUCGGAUUAGUUAGUUGGUGAGGUAAUGGCUCACCAAGACCGCGAUCCGUAACUGGUCUGAGAGGGUGAUCAGUCACACUGGAACUGAGACACGGUCCAGGCUCCUACGGGAGGCAGCAGUGGGGAAUAUUGGACAAUGGGGGGAACCCUGAUCCAGCCAUGCCGCGUGUGUGAAGAAGGUCUUAGGAUUGUAAAGCACUUUAAGUUAGGAGGAAGAGCAGUUAACUAAUAUUUGACUGUUUUGACGUUACCGACAGAAUAAGCACCGGCUAACUUCGUGCCAGCCGCCGCGGUAA
rnacentral:rRNA from 1 species